rnacentral:rRNA from 1 species
GGGCAUCAUAGAGGGUGAUAAUCCCGUACAUGGCUUGGAGCGCCCGAGGCUUUGUGAUACGCUUUCUAAGAGUCGAGUUGUUUGGGAAUGCAGCUCAAAAUGGGUGGUAAAUGCCAUCUAAGGCUAAAUAUUGGGGAGAGACCGAUAGCGAACAAGUACAGUGAUGGAAAGAUGAAAAGAACUUUGAAAAGAGAGUUAAACAGUACGUGAAAUUGCCAAAAGGGAAGGGUAGGAGGUCAGAGAUGCGGCCUGGGAUUCAGCCUUGCUUUUGCUUGGUGUUUUUCCCAGAUUGCAGGCCAACGUCGGUUUUGGGCACUGGAGAAGGGUAGGAGGAACGUGGCACCCCUCGGGGUGUGUUAUAGCCUCCUACUGGAUACAGCGACCGAGACCGAGGACAGCAGCGUACUCGCAAGAGCGGGCCUUCGGGCACCUUUACGCUUAGGGCGUUGGCAUAAUGGCCCUCUACCAC